rnacentral:rRNA from 1 species
UACGUAGGGGCAAGCGUUGUCCGGAAUUACUGGGCGUAAAGGGCUCGUAGGCGGCCAACUAAGUCAGACGUGAAAUCCCGGCUCAACCGGGAACUGCGUCCGAUACUGGCAGGCUUGAAUUCGGAGAGGGAUGUGGAAUUCCAGGUGUAGCGGUGAAAUGCGUAGAUAUCUGGAGGAACACCGGUGGCGAAGGCGGCAUCCUGGACCGAUAUUGACGCUGAUGCGCGAAAGCCAGGGAGCAACGGG